rnacentral:rRNA from 1 species
AGUGGGGAAUCUUCCACAAUGGGCGCAAGCCUGAUGGAGCAACGCCGCGUGAAUGAAGAAGGCCUUAGGGUCGUAAAGUUCUGUCCUUAGGGAAGAACCGUGGGUAUAGCAAAUGAUACCCACCUGACGGUACCUUUGGAGGAAGCACUGGCUAACUACGUGCCAGCAGCCGCGGUAAUACGUAGAGUGCAAGCGUUGUCCGGAAUUAUUGGGCGUAAAGGGUACGCAGGCGGAUAGUAAAGUCAAGCGUGAAAGGUGUCGGCUUAACCGACAGACUGCGUUUGAAACUGAUUAUCUUGAGUGUAACAGAGGAGAGUGGAAUUCCUAGUGUAGUGGUGAAAUACGUAGAUAUUAGGAAGAACACCAGUGGCGAAGGCGACUCUCUGGGUUAACACUGACGCUGAGGUACGAAAGCUGGGGGAGCAAACGGGAUUAGAUACCCCGGUAGUCCCAGCCGUAAACGAUGGAUACUAGGUGUUGGAGGUUCGAAUCCUUCAGUGCCGGAGUUAACGCAUUAAGUAUCCCGCCUGGGGAUUACGAUCGCAAGAUUG